rnacentral:rRNA from 1 species
GGAAAGAUGAAAAGAACUUUGAAAAGAGAGUUAAACAGUACGUGAAAUUGUUGAAAGGGAAACGAUUGAAGUCAGUCAUACCAACGGGAAAUCAACCUUUUGAGCUCGGUCUCGUGGGUUUGAAGAGUUUCAAAGCCUUCGGAUUCGCGAGAUUGGGAUCUUCUGGUGUACUUUCUCGUACGGUUAGUCAACAUCGGUUUUGAAUGUCAUAAAAUGACUGGAGGAAUGUAGCUUCGAUCUCGUAUCGAAGCGUUAUAGCCUUUGGUAGAUGUGAUGUUUGAGACCGAGGAUUGCAACGGAUACCCUCUAAGGGCUAUUCGUCUGAUCUCUGAUACGUUGCCUUGACGUUGAAAGCUUGCUUAUGAUGUUAGGGUAUUACGGUCAAAAGGUUAGAACGGAUUAAAUUCGUUAAGGAUGUUGACGUAAUGACUUUAAACGACCCGUCUUGAAACACGGACCA